rnacentral:rRNA from 1 species
UACAGAGGGUGCAAGCGUUGCUCGGAAUCAUUGGGCGUAAAGCGCGUGUAGGCGGUCUUCUAAGUCUGGUGUGAAAGCCCAGGGCUCAACCCUGGAAGUGCACUGGAUACUGGAAGACUAGAGGGUAAGAGGGGACAUUGGAAUUCCUGGUGUAGGGGUGAAAUCCGUAGAUAUCAGGAGGAACAUCGGUGGCGAAGGCGAAUGUCUGGCUUAUUUCUGACGCUGAGACGCGAAAGCGUGGGGAGCAAACAGG